rnacentral:lncRNA from 1 species
UGCUUCACCUGUUACUCCAAACAAACAGCUAUGGCAACUUCUACCUUAAUCUCUAUCCCCAUAUUGCCCUCUUCCCCUCAACCAAAACAAACCCAAUUCACCUCACAAACUACAAAUUCCAAAUUUACCUUCUUUUCAAAGCUCGAUGUACUAAAGCUCCCGUUAUGCAUGGGUUACAGAAAAGUACCGAACUACAAGAAUUUAUUAUACUUACCUUUGAGAAAUGCAACUACUAUUUUGGGUGUCACUGGAAUUGCUUUGGCAAUGGUAAUGAUGGGACGUGCUGCAAGAUGUGCUUCAGAAAUAGCUGUAAUGGGUUCUUCUUUACAAUUCAAUGAACCAUCUAAUGCUCUCUCUUUACCUACAUGGGCUAUACAUGUUUCCGUUGUUGUUGAAUGGUAUUUUACUUUGCAACAUAUUAUUUGUCAUAUCCACUGACUCUGCGCAGCUAAUUCAAAGGGUUCUUUAUUUCAAUCUCAGUUGUUGAUCUUUACAUUCACAUUCACUUGAGUGAAUCUCUAAGUCACCUCUGACUCUAAAGUCUAAACAAAGAAAGACACAAAAUUAGUGAUACUUAAACCGCGUCCAAUAUUGGUCUUUAUUGCUAUACGAUUAAUCGUGAGAAAUUUACAAUUCAACUUCUGCGGCGCAAUCAAUAUUCAUGGAGAAUAAAACAAAUAUUUAAUGAACGUUGUAAAUCAUAUAUAAAAGGAGAAUACUUAAUAACUUUCCUACUUAAGCUAUUAUUCCAUAGUACUUCUAAGUUUCGAUCAUGCUCUUCUCAGCUCUCAUUCCGGUGUUACCUAAUGAAAAUACUAAACAUUGAUUCACACGUACCAUUCAAGUCAAUUAGUCAUUCUCCUCAUAAAAGUCCAAAAAUUGAGAUUAAAAAAAUCACAAAAACAUCCAACUACAACAAAAUAAUAGGAUAAUCGAUUGUGAUUGAAGCUAUUUUUCAGCAUUAUAUUUGACGGCAAGAAGUGUAUCCGCCAUAGCUGAGCAAUCAGAAUAUAUUAAAUAUUUUUUAAUAUAAAUAUAAAAUUUAAGUCAAACUACUCAAUCCUACCGAAUCUAUAAUCAACUAAUAACUAACAUAGGGUGCGCUGCCGCUGUUAACACAUAUCAAAGUACCAAGUUAUAUUUAAACACAAGAGCAUGUAUUUUUCAACUAAAAUACAUACAAGUAAAAUGCAUGCUCUUAAAUUAUACAUGUAACAUAUUAGCCAUUCAUAAACAAAAUUCAAUUUCCUGUUUUAAACAAUUGUCAGUAAUACAAAUCAAAUUUGCGGAAAUAAUGUUAUUUGUGCUGAAUACUACAUGAAAACGUUAGGAAUAAUUUUUAUGCGUACGAGACGUAUAUAAACAUAUACCUUAUUAGAUAAUCAGUAGUGAUGAAACAAUCCUCGGAGAAAUCUAGCAACAACUUUGUUUGUCCAUCAACGCAAACAUAAUUUCUAGUCCAAAAUAACCUAUCAAUAAUUUCAAGAAAAAAUUAAAAAUAUUAAAGUAGAUAUUUAUUGACAGAUGCAAGAAAAUAAAAUAAUUAAGGGUUUUUAAUCAAAGGUCAACGGAUCAAAUUCAAACAAAUAAAACCUAUUGGAUGAACAUAAGAAGAAAGAAUCACGAAACCUAUUGGAUGAACAUAAGAAGAAAGAAUCACAAAACCUAUGAGGCUUUAUUGAUUGAGGAGGCC